AGAAGAAGGAAAAAUUAAGGGAGUAAAAAGAGUGAAGCGAGGAGAGUGUGGAAGAGUGAGGUGGAAAGGAAGAAAGAUCAGGAAGAUGAUUGGAGGAGAAGAAAAAGUUGAGAGUAAGAAGAGUGACACAAGGAGAGUGAAGAAGAGCAGACAGAGAAGCAGACACAAUGGCUAUUUCCAAGAAACGGAAAUGCCAUUUUAAUGACAACAUGAUGAGAGAAUUUCCAAUUUCCAGGCGAUAGAAUGGUUAACUGCACCCUUUGUAAUUCCUCUUUUUCAAUUGGCAGUGGGGGAAGAACGGCAGUGGUAGAACAUCAACAAACAAAAAAACAUAAAGCCUCUCUGAUUGCCUGUGUUGGUAUGCCCUCUGUCACCACAUUCUUCAAGAAGGUAGAGCCUUCCCAAGAAGAAUAUGAUUUAGCUGUGCAGGAGGGAAAGCUUUAUGAGCCGAAGUUUACAUGUGCUAGGACAAAAUGUGACGCCACAGUAAGUAACGUGUUAGCACCAUGGGCAACUACUUUGGUAACACAGGACCUAGACCAGGUUGAAUUUGUGUCCCUGGCCAUUGAUGCGUCCAAUUAUGGACAUGUAAAGCUGCUGCCAAUAGCAGUCAGAUAUUGUAAGAUAUAUGGUGGCAACACAUCUGUGGAAACAAAACUGCUUGAUUUUGUUGAUUUGAAAGCAGAAACAGCAGAGGAGAUUGCAGCUGAGGUCCUGGUGGUCAUCCAAAAAUGUAACCUGCAAAACAAAGUCGUGGCAUUCUCUGCCGACAACACAAAUACCAACUUUGGAGGACUGAAUAGGCUGGGGAGGGUCAAUGUCCAUACCAAAGUUAAAAAUGCUCUGCAGAGGGAGGUGAUUGGCUUAGGUUGUCCUGCCCACAUCAUAACACGGUCAGAACAGCUUUGGAUAUGAUUCCCCUUGAUGUUGAGUACCUGCUCACAAAGAUAUUUUCACCGUCAGAGUAGAAAGACUGAAGAGCUUUUGUGAGUUUGUUGGCCAGGAGUACCAUAACAUUUUAGGACACAGCAAUGUUCGCUGGCUGUCCAUGCUCCCUGCUCUAGAAAGAGUGCUGAAAAGGUAUGUGCCAUUGAAAUCCUUUUUUCUUUCUGAAGACAAAUGCCCUGUUGUCCUGCAAACAAUGUUCGAAGAUCCACUGACUGAACUUUGGCUGGACUUUGUCCAUGGAAACUUGACCGUAUUCAGUGACACGAUCAAGAUGCUUGAAGGGCUGGGCCACUGUGCUGUGGAGUCAGCUGCAAUUCUGAGAAACAUUGAGGCAAAAUUAACUGCAAGACGUGAUGACAACCAGUUUUGGUCAGAUGACUUCUGAGAGAGCUAGAGGGAAAUGGUGCAAUGUCCAAAUAGAGAUUUAUCAAAACUGCAAGAGUUCCUUAACGGGGGGAUCGCUUGAAGAAUGGAAAACAUCGGAGACACCGCUUAGUCAGAGAUGGAGCACGGUGGUUACCCACUUCAAAGAGAACGACAUCCCACACACUAAACUGGGUAGAUUAGCGUCUGUUGUCAUGUGCUUACCUGGAAGUAAUGCACCAGUCAAGAGAGUGUUCUCCCAAAUGAAUGAUAUAUGGACAACAGCAAGAAAUAUGUUCACUGUUCCUACCAUCAAGGCCAUGCUUAUUGUGAAGACAAAAUUCAACCUCCCCUGCCAGGAGUUCAUGGAGAAGCUGACCAAAGACAGAGCAAUCCUGAAGAAGAUAUAUUCUUCUGAGAAAUAUACAGAUUAGACUACCAGGACCACUGAAUGGCUGUUCAGAACAGACAGUUCUUUCUUGUCUGUAGUGUUUCUGUAAUAUAGUUGUUUUCUCUAUCACAGUGUGCCUGUUAGACAUAAUACAUGAAACCGAAAUUGUCCCCCUUUUUUAUUUCAUAGAUAAUAACAUUGGAUAUUUUAAUAGUAUAUUGACCGCCAAACUGGAAAUGUCCCUGGUUUUCAUUUCAGAAAUCUGGUCACCUUAGCCUAUUCGCCACGUUAUGACUGAGUUGUGAUCAUUGCCCUUGCUAGUUUAAUUGUAUUGACAUUCCCAGCCUUAGUCGUCCGUUUUUGUUCAAAAUAUUGAGUCAUUGAAACUGAAACAGAGCAUCCCGAAUGGGUAGACGCAGCAAAUAAUCUACUAGGCCAGCUGUGAUUUACAACCUGAGCAAUAUUUAUUCUACAAAACUUAGUCCACUCUGUUUGUAACAGAUUCUAGUUUUGAGAACAGAACACUGUAUUGAGAGCAAAUGUUUCAUCAAUGAGAAAAUGUCCAGAAUGUUGGCCAAAAUCCAUCUUGGUCCAUCUUCUCCCACUGCCUGCCACUGGGCUUCCUCUCAACAUAUUUGGGGAUGCCAACCGGUUGCUUUAGAUUUAUACAUCUGAUGAAACAUCUGACUCAUUGUUCUAUCUGUGUAUGCAGUCUCUGAACUAAAUGUCAAACCACAGCUCCACCCCAAGGAAAAUGACUGACUGCAGUAACACAACCAACCAUGUGGUUAAACGGCAGUAAGAUUUACAGUUCCCCUGACCCUAACCUUUUAACGUAACUCCUACAUGUAACCUUAACCCUAAACCCUAACCUAGCUAACGUUAGCCAGCUAGCUAACAUUAGCCACCUAGCUAGAAUUCGUAACAUGUCAUAUGUUUUACAAAUUCAUAACCUAUUGUUAGUUUUGAAAAUUUGUAACAUAUUGUACAUUUUUAAAACUCAUAACAUAUUGUUGUUCGUAACAUAUAAUACAAAAUUGGUGAUUAAAUUCAUGCAUAACAUAAGAAACAUAACAUAAUAAAUGGAUUGUCUCGGAUUUACAUACAUAUAAUACGAAAUGCUCUGAGACCAGGUUGACCACUCACCAGCCUGGUUAAACUAGACUGAACUUUUCACUCUUCUUCACAAAACACAAUUUAUAGACAUUAGACACAUUUCUUGUGUUUAGAAUUCCAUCGUAAUGAUGACUAUUGAAUCCUGCAGAUGAAGAAUCAGCUGUGCCUUUUGGAAAAAAAUUUGACUUUACAAAUCUUUUUUUUUUAAAGUAUGGAAAAGAGUGAAAUAAGAAAACUAGCAAGUAUAAUUCAAGGAGAGAUGUUUGAUGACAUGAUCUUUCAAUAAUGACACUUGAUGUGGUAUACACAUUCCCCACCCAAUAAAUAUUUGACCAGUGGUGUACU